CCUACGGGAGGCUGCAGUGAGGAAUAUUGGUCAAUGGACGAGAGUCUGAACCAGCCAAGUAGCGUGAAGGAUGACUGCCCUAUGGGUUGUAAACUUCUUUUAUAAAGGAAUAAAACGAGGCACGUGUCCCUUUUUGAAUGUACUUUAUGAAUAAGAAUCGGCUACCUCCGUGCCAGCAGCCGCGGUAAUACGGAGGAUCCAAGCGUUAUCCGGAUUUAUUGGGUUUAAAGGGAGCGUAGAUGGGUUGUUAAGUCAGUUGUGAAAGUUUGCGGCUCAACCGUAAAAUUGCAAUUGAUACUGGCAGUCUUGAGUACAGUUGAGGUAGGCGGAAUUCGUGGUGUAGCGGUGAAAUGCUUAGAUAUCACGAAGAACCCCGAUUGCGAAGGCAGCUUACUAAACUGUGACUGACAUUGAUGCUCGAAAGUGUGGGUAUCAAACAGGAUUAGAUACCCGGGUAGUC
rnacentral:rRNA from 1 species